rnacentral:tmRNA from 1 species
GUGCUAUCUUAAAAGGGUUCACAUGUCGUGAACUAGGUGGCUCACACCAGUGUUUCGGACAGCGGUUCGAUUCCGCUCAGCUCCACCUUUCACGGGGCUGCAAUGGUUUCGACGGGGCAUGAGGAGGGUGACUGAAGCCUGCUCGGUCAGAGCAACUUCGUAACAGCGAACAACAUCGUUCGUUUCUCCCGCCAGGCCGCCCCUGUUGC